rnacentral:rRNA from 1 species
AGCGAACGCUGGCGGCAGGCCUAACACAUGCAAGUCGAACGAAGUCUUCGGACUUAGUGGCGGACGGGUGAGUAACACGUGGGAACGUGCCUUUAGGUUCGGAAUAACUCAGGGAAACUUGUGCUAAUACCGAAUGUGCCCUUCGGGGGAAAGAUUUAUCGCCUUUAGAGCGGCCCGCGUCUUAUUAGCUAGUUGGUGAGGUAAAGGCUCACCAAGGCGACGAUCAGUAGCUGGUCUGAGAGGAUGAUCAGCCACAUUGGGACUGAGACACGGCCCAAACUCCUACGGGAGGCAGCAGUGGGUAAUCUUGCGCAAUGGGCGAAAGCCUGACGCAGCCAUGCCGCGUGAAUGAUGAAGGUCUUAGGAUUGUAAAAUUCUUUCACCGGGGACGAUAAUGACGGUACCCGGAGAAGAAGCCCCGGCUAACUUCAUGCCAGCCGCCGCGGUAAAAC